AGUGGCGGACGGGUGAGUAACGCGUAGGAAUCUACCUGAUAGUGGGGGAUAGCCCGAAGAAAUUCGGAUUAAUACCGCAUAAUCUAUUCGUAGUAAAGUGGGGGACUUUCGAGCCUCACGCUAUCAGAUGAGCCUGCGUAAGAUAGCUAGUUGGUAGGGUAAAAGCCUACCAAGGCUACGAUCUUUAGCUGGUCUGAGAGGAUGAUCAGCCACAUCGGGACUGAGACACGGCCCGAACUCCUACGGGAGGCAGCAGUGGGGAAUAUUGGACAAUGGGGGCAACCCUGAUCCAGCAAUACCGCGUGUGUGAAGAAGGCCUGAGGGUUGUAAAGCACUUUCAAUUGUGAAGAAAAGCUAGUGGUUAAUAGCCAUUAGCCUUGACGUUAACUUUAGAAGAAGCACCGGCUAACUCCGUGCCAGCAGCCGCGGUAAUACGGAGGGUGCAAGCGUUAAUCGGAAUUACUGGGCGUAAAGCGUGCGUAGGCGGUUUAUUAAGUCAGAUGUGAAAGCCCCGGGCUUAACCUGGGAACUGCAUUUGAAACUGGUCAACUAGAGUAUGGUAGAGGAAAGUGGAAUUUCUGGUGUAGCGGUGAAAUGCGUAGAUAUCAGAAGGAACAUCAAUGGCGAAGGCAACUUUCUGGACCAAUACUGACGCUGAGGUACGAAAGCGUGGGUAGCAAACAGGAUUAGAUACCCUGGUAGUCCACGCCGA
rnacentral:rRNA from 1 species